UGUACAGAAACAUAAAAUUGAUUGAUUUUAUGAAGUUGGGUGAAUUUGCUUUAUACAAAAAACAUGCUAGAUAUUAAACUACAGCAUUAUAAGAAGUUGAUCAAUUAACUAACUUUAUUCCUUUUAGGAAUUAAAACCAGAGGAAGAACUGGAGCCGGCUAUAACCAUCUGCCAGGAGACUCCAGAAACCCCUGAUAUUGACAUCUGUCAGGAGACAACGCAGAAAUCAGGCAAUGACACCUGCCAGCCUGAACUCGAAAACCAGCAAGAGAGUGCUGAAGUAAACGAGGAAAACCAGCAAGAGAGUGCUGAAGUA